rnacentral:rRNA from 1 species
AUGGGUGAAAGUAACGAGAAUAUCCAGUUUUCCUGGGGAAAGAAGAGAGCAAAAGGUGGUGCCAAGAUGGAUACACAGUUCUAUGGUUCCUUCACAUUUGACAAUGUGAAGUACUCACUGUAUGACUGUGUGUAUCUUUUUAAAAAUGGUGAAUCUGAACCAUACAUUGGAAAGAUAGUAAAGAUAUGGCAGCAAAAUGAAGCUAAGAAAGUAAAGAUUCUUUGGUUUUUCACCCCGGAUGAGAUCAGAAAUUAUUUAAGAGGCUCCGUGGCGGAGAAUGAGAUAUUUCUUGCUUCUGGUGAUGGCACUGGCCUUGCCGAUAUCAACCCACUGGAAUCUAUUGCUGGUAAAUGCACUGUUGUUUGCAUUUCAAAGGAUGAAAGGAAUCGCCAGCCUACCCCAAAGGAACAAACGGUCGCUGAUUAUAUCUUCUAUAGGUUUUUUGAUGUUGGAAACUGCACACUUUCUGAGCAAGUACCUGAGAAAAUUGCAGGGCUGGAAGUCAACGUGCUGCUUAAUCCUAAAGAUGAGCAAGUUAUAUGUUACCCGGAUCAGGAUGCGCAAGGCAUGGAUCAGAAGGUGGGUGCAGGUCUGGUCGCACCCCUUCCGCAAUCAGCGGCUAAGAUGGAGGAUGAAAUUCCUGUUGCACCCCUUCCGCAAUCAGCUGCUAAGAUGGAGGAUGAAAUUCCUGUUGCUGCAGUUCCCCUUUCCCAGUCAGUGGCCAUUUCUCUUCCCCCAUCAGUCAAAGAGGUGGAUAAAGCUCAGGUUGCUGCUGUUCCUCUUCCCCUAGCAGUUGAGGAGGAUGUUCCCAAACCCACACAAAAAGUUUUCAAACGUACACAGAGUACACAGAAAGUUCUCUCUGAUAAGAUGCCUUCAAAGAAAUUGAAAUUAUCUCAAGAUCUUACAACGAAGAAUAUGCCUUCAAAGAAGUUGAAACUAUCUCAAGAUCUUACAACGCAAAGUAUGGCCCCAGUUCCUGACGUGAAAGUUCGCUCUGUUCCUUUGGCGCAACUACCAACAAGGCAGGCUGACAGAAGCAAAUGGUUCAAACCACAGCCCUGGCAUGAAAAACUAGCACAAGCUGAUAAGGAGGGGAGGCUGGUGUAUAUUCAGAAUCUUGACAUACGGUUUGGAGCUUCUGAAAUAGUGGAACUUAUUCGUGAGGCACUACAACUAUCUUGUACUGCUAAGCCUAUUAACCACCCGACCUACGAUGAUCCUAACAAUGGAAAAGCAUAUGUUGUAUUCAAUUCCAGAAAUAUUGCUGAUGAAGCUGUUAUGAAAAUCAAUUCAGGCUUGGUUGUGGGUGGAAGACCCCUUUACUGCAGCAAAGGGUUACUUAAGGUCCCAAAACCAGCUUCAGGAGCUCUGGUUGGGCACUUAACCAUCAGUAAUCAGAAAAUGAACCCAAGACAACGAGAAGAGCAGAAGAAGGCUGUGUCGACAUCACAUUGUUCUCAACCCAACACAAUAGAAUAUGACCUGGCCUUGGACUGGAUGCUUGUCCGAGAAAAGCAAGCAAUGAAGUUCAGUAUACUUCAUAAGAGGCACGCGGGUGAGAGGAAGUCGUUUGCUCUAAGAUGGCGCAGUAAGUAG